UUCAUAUGAAUAUACGUCUCAUUCCACACUGCUUCCGAGAUAGAGCUAUUUGAAUGUACAGCGGAAUAUGGCCAAUUUCAUAUGCAAACAAUUUCACGUGAGUUCGAGAAUCAAAAGGGAGUGGAGCAUCUCGUAAAAGAUGGACUUAUUUUGCGGCGAAAAGUAGUAACUAAGUUAAGUUAAAAUUAUUUAACCUUAUUUUUUUAACUGGACACUACCAAACCCUGCAAGGCAGUCUUUAAAGCAAAAAGUGGUUACUUUGAGCUAGGAAUCUGAAAUUUAAUUUAAAUCUUGAUUAAAAGCUUGUCGUACGUACGCAAGUAUCUUCGUUUCAAUUGUCUUUAGUUAAAUAAACACAAAGCAAACU